ACGGCCCAGACUCCUACGGGAGGCAGCAGUGGGGAAUUUUGGACAAUGGGGGAAACCCUGAUCCAGCCAUCCCGCGUGUGCGAUGAAGGCCUUCGGGUUGUAAAGCACUUUUGGCAGGAAAGAAACGUUCCGGGUUAAUACCCCGGGAAACUGACGGUACCUGCAGAAUAAGCACCGGCUAACUACGUGCCAGCAGCCGCGGUAAUACGUAGGGUGCAAGCGUUAAUCGGAAUUACUGGGCGUAAAGCGUGCGCAGGCGGUUCGGAAAGAAAGAUGUGAAAUCCCAGAGCUUAACUUUGGAACUGCAUUUUUAACUACCGAGCUAGAGUGUGUCAGAGGGAGGUGGAAUUCCGCGUGUAGCAGUGAAAUGCGUAGAUAUGCGGAGGAACACCGAUGGCGAAGGCAGCCUCCUGGGAUAACACUGACGCUCAUGCACGAAAGCGUGGGGAGCAAACAGGAUUAGAUACCCUGGUAGUCCACGCCCUAAACGAUGUCAACUAGCUGUUGGGGCCUUCGGGCCUUGGUAGCGCAGCUAACGCGUGAAGUUGACCGCCUGGGGA
rnacentral:rRNA from 1 species